rnacentral:snRNA from 1 species
AUUGCCUCUUGGCUUUUUGGCUAAGAUCAAGUGUAGUAUCUGUCCUUAACAAUUAAAUAUCUCUUCUCAGUUUAUCGUAAGAAUAGGAAGGGUACUCAAG